UGAUUAUCUGAGGCAGCUGAUCGAGCACGUCUCGAUCAACCCUAUGGAGAUGCUGAGCAAGAAUCCAAACUGCGAGUUCUCGCGUUUCUGUGGGAGCAAGUAUGAGGAGCUCAUUCAUCCAACAAUGGAGUCUUCCAUCUUCAGCAACCUAGAUAGGAAGGAUAAGGUGUUGGAUUCUUGGAAGUCGUUGAGUGUCUUCUACGAGUCGUUUGUUAGGGCAGCGAGCUCGAUAUGGCUGCUUCACAAGCUGGCGUAUUCGUUCAAGCCCGUGGUGGAGAUAUUUCAGGUGGAGAGGGGGGCUGAGUUCUCCAUGGUGUACAUGGAGGAUGUUUUGGGGAGAUGUAGUUUGCCCGGAAAAGCCGGGCGCCCCCGGCCCCGUGUAGGGUUCACGGUGGUGCCCGGUUUCAAGGUCGGGAGAAGUGUUGUGCAGUCGCAGGUUUAUCUCACUUCACUUGGAUUGAAACAUGUUGAGUAAUCAAGAUUUGUUGUGAUGCUAUUGCUGUGCAUAUUUUGUGUUAAAGAGGUUUUGGUUUUUGCUGGUAAUACUUGUAUAAAGAAGAAGAUAUACUACUACAUGUUUUCUCCUUUUGCUUUUGUGUUGUUUUUCAAUAGGAAUGAAAUUGUAUUUAGCUCUCAAUGUUAUUCAAGUUCAAUCUGCAGUUGGUCACUUGACUAUUGAAAUUAUUGAGUUGAUUGCUUUGGUUUGGAUUCAUGUUGUGUAUAGUAGGGGUGUAAUCGAACCGAGGUUCGAAUAAUGGUGUGUUCAAAUUUGGUUUGUUUAAUAUUGAAUCGAAUCCUGAAUUUUAUUUACCGAAUAUUUUGAGGCUCACGUAGCCUAUACGAACUUUAUUUCUAAAUUUAUAUUUAUAUUCAAAAUAUUGAUUAUUUUAUUCAAAAUAAUAAAUAUACUAAUUACUCCCUCCGUCCCAAAUGAAAUGUCUUGUUUCCUUUUGGGCUGUCCCAAACGAAAUGUCCUGUUUCCUUUUUUGGCAAUACAUUCUCUCUCUAUACUUAAUAUUUAAUAAUUUUCACCAACCCACUUUAUCUACUUUAUACACAUUUCUUAAUUUCCGUGCCGAAAAGAAAUAGGACAUUUCGUUUGGGACGGAUGGAGUACUAUUUUUUUAUAAUAAAUAAAAUUAANCAGAAAUUGACUGAGAUGAGGAAUUUGUACAGGGAAUCGAAGAGAAAGGGGCCGGGGUUGAGCGGAGGCUUCGACUUCCCCGCGGCGUCGUUCUGGGAGUUUCAGGUGCAGGAGAAUCAGAGCAAGCUCAGGGUUUUGGAGACGAUGGUGAAUACGCAGCAGUCGCAGAUUGACGUCAAGGAUGACGAAGCAAUCGAAUUGAGGAAGAAAUUGGAUAGAAUUAGGGCUGCAAAUUGCGAAUUGAUGCGGAAAUUGGGUUUGAAAGAGGGGAGUGCAGGUUUGGGGCUGGAGGUCAUGCUGACAAUUAGGGUUUUUGAGGCAAUGCUGCGUGAUUCAGUGAAAUCCAUGCGAUGUUUCGUGAAAUUGUUGAUUGAUCUGAUGCGAAGAGCAGGGUGGGAUUUGGAGGAAGCUGCCAAUUCUGUUUAUUCAGGUAUGAAUUACACGAGAAAGGGCCAUUUCCGGUAUGCAUUCCUCUCCUACGUUUGCCUAGGAAUGUUUCAGAAUUUCGACAAAAUUGAUUUCGGAUUAUGCGAUUCUGAGAUGAUCUGCAACGGCAAUGGCUCUAAACAAAUCGAAAAUAGGUGUGAGCGAUGUGGUGACAGCAUUGAUUAUCUGAGGCAGCUGAUCGAGCACGUCUCGAUCAACCCUAUGGAGAUGCUGAGCAAGAAUCCAAACUGCGAGUUCUCGCGUUUCUGUGGGAGCAAGUAUGAGGAGCUCAUUCAUCCAACAAUGGAGUCUUCCAUCUUCAGCAACCUAGAUAGGAAGGAUAAGGUGUUGGAUUCUUGGAAGUCGUUGAGUGUCUUCUACGAGUCGUUUGUUAGGGCAGCGAGCUCGAUAUGGCUGCUUCACAAGCUGGCGUAUUCGUUCAAGCCCGUGGUGGAGAUAUUUCAGGUGGAGAGGGGGGCUGAGUUCUCCAUGGUGUACAUGGAGGAUGUUUUGGGGAGAUGUAGUUUGCCCGGGAAAGCCGGGCGCCCCCGGCCCCGUGUAGGGUUCACGGUGGUGCCCGGUUUCAAGGUCGGGAGAAGUGUUGUGCAGUCGCAGGUUUAUCUCACUUCACUUGGAUUGAAACAUGUUGAGUAAUCAAGAUUUGUUGUGAUGCUAUUGCUGUGCAUAUUUUGUGUUAAAGAGGUUUUGGUUUUUGCUGGUAAUACUUGUAUAAAGAAGAAGAUAUACUACUACAUGUUUUCUCCUUUUGACUUUUGUGUUGUUUUUCAAUAGGAAUGAAAUUGUAUUUAGCUCUCAAUGUUAUUCAAGUUCAAUCUGCAGUUGGUCACUUGACUAUUGAAAUUAUUGAGUUGAUUGCUUUGGUUUGGAUUCAUGUUGUGUAUAGUAGGGGUGUAAUCGAACCGAGGUUCGAAUAAUGGUGUGCUCAAAUUUGGUUUGUUUAAUAUUGAAUCGAAUCCUGAA
rnacentral:lncRNA from 1 species